rnacentral:lncRNA from 1 species
UUCCCAAAGCUGAAGGCCCUGCUGUGGAGUGGCUGCAGCAGUGUUAAAGACGGAAACGUUGCUGUGUUUCAGUUUUAGGCAAUCUUCUGCUUUCUAUUUCCACUAUCACAAAGCAUUUUGCAUUCACAAAACAUCUUUUCCUUUUUAAAAGCUGCAAGUAGGCUUCUUGGAUGAGGAAAGAAUCAUUUUGUAUUAGUAGGAACCACAAACGCAAUUGCUGGAAAAAUCAAUGUAGCCUUUGCUUUGGAGCACCUGGUGCCACACUAUGCAUGUUACCUACAUACAUGUGCAGAUGAAGUAGAAAAAUGAGCAGCCUAAGACAGGCUCUUUUUGUUCAAUAGUUGCAGGCAGAGGAAUGAUCACAGAUGGAAAAAAAUCACCCUGCUCAGCUGUAGAGUCAGGCUGCAAUGUGAAAAUGUAAGCAUGAAUCAGAAGGUACCAUCAGCAGGCAGGAGCAUCUCUCCUCCUCUGUGGAGGACUCAGGUGUAGGCACGCUGCUAAUGGAAGGGCUCUUUCCCUGAUGGUUUCUGCAGUGACACCUUUCCUUCUGGGAAGCACCUGGGGCUUCUCUGUGCCUGCAUGCAAACCCUGCUGCCUCAGGAAGAGGAGGUCUGCUCUUCCUCCCCAGCUGCCUCUCCCCGGAGGGGUUUCCCCACCAUGAUCUCAUGGAGCAAUAAUGGGAAAAGUCAUCAGAGAUGUGAAACUGCUCAUGAGUUGUGGUUGCAGAAAAGGGAAAAAUGCUCAAGUGAAAGACUCGGAUCAGGUGUGUGGUUUUUAUACCAUGAGCUAUAUAAAGGAUUGGGACUAGCCACCUACAUUCUGGCUGAAGCUUUGGAGAGUUCUAUUGCUGAUGAUUUCAUUUACUGCUAUUUCUCCAAUGUGCCUCUGGAAGCUCUAUGCAAUGCCUAUGUGGGAUUGAGUGGCCCCUAG